CCCAACUCAAUGCUAUUUUACAAUCUAAUAGAGUAGGAUUUCAUUUAGUUAUUAUUCCUUAAUGAUGAAUUUAAUUCAGUUCUAUUUAUUUCUAUGCUGCUUUAUUAACUAUUGUGGAGUGUAUUCUUGUUUUUUGCUUUAGUCCACUAUAUGGCUAUUCUUUCAGGCUAUCCAUGAUGAUUGGCAUAUAGAUUUUGGUAGGUUUUGGUAUCAUACUGGUGCUUUAUAUAUAUAUAUAUAUAUAUAUGCCCAAUGCUACUGUGGUUUUCCUUUAUAUUCCAUGUUUAUGGAUUGAAAAUGGUACAUGAUGAUGACCCAAUCAAUUCUCUUUGAUGCUGUUAAUGAUUUCUUACUUAAAAGUAGGAUAUGUCAAUGGUUUUGGAUGUUUGGACCAUUUGACCAUGAACUACUCCU
rnacentral:lncRNA from 1 species